GAUGAACGCUGGCGGCGUGCCUAAUACAUGCAAGUCGAGCGAAGCGGGGACGGGUGAGUAAAACGUGGAUAACCUCCUAUACAACUGGGAUCACUUAAGGAAACCGGAGCAAAACCGGAUACUUAUAGAUGGAUACGCACUGACUAAGCUAGUUGGGAAGGUAACGGCUUACCAAGGCAACGAUGCAUAGCCGACCUGGGAGGGUGAUCGGCCAAACUGGAACUGAGAUACGGUCCAGACUCCGACGGUAGGCAGCAGUAGGGAAUCGUCCGUAAGGGGCGCAAGCCUGACGGAGCAACGCCGCGUGAGUGAUGAAGGUCUUCGGAGCGUAAAACUCUGAUAUUAAGGAAGCGAUACCUAAUCAGAAAGCCACGGCUAACUACGUGCCAGCAGAAACGAUAAUUC
rnacentral:rRNA from 1 species